rnacentral:rRNA from 1 species
UACGUAGGCAGCAAGCGUUGUUCGGAGUUACUGGGCGUAAAGGGUGUGUAGGCGGUUUUCUAAGUCUGGUGUGAAAUCUCCCGGCUCAACUGGGAGGGUGCGCCGAAAACUGGAAGGCUAGAGUGCGGGAUGGGAGAGUGGAAUUCCUGGUGUAGCGGUGAAAUGCGUAGAUAUCAGGAGGAACACCUGUGGUGUAGACGGCUCUCUGGACUGCAACUGACGCUGAGACACGAAAGCGUGGGUAGCAAACAGG